CAUAAAUGUUCUCUGCAGCUCCGUCCUCUGGAGGCGAGCAGGAACCAGUAGACAAAAAUCCUGUUACGAGCGAAGAACCAACGACACACAAGGAAGAAACAGUCGGACUUCGGGUGCCUUGGGUCGGCUACUACUCUGAAGACUGCUGGAGCAAAGAUGGAGGUUAUGCCCCUCACGGAAAACUGUGCUUGAUUACACCUAACAGACAUAAGCUUGGAACAGGUCAUGGGUGCUAUUGGGGAAAGUGUAAAAAGGGCAGAUGUGUAAAUGCACUCUAUUCUAGAUGCGCAACUAUGUAGGACUUGCACAGCUAUGAAUAAAUAUUCUCUGCACAUUAUCGUUGCCAAAAUAUUCUGUGCUCAAAUGUAUCACUUUGUAACUACCGUCUUAAGUAGGUGGAAAUAAAAUCAACUGGCU
rnacentral:lncRNA from 1 species